rnacentral:tRNA from 1 species
CGGGCCUUGAUCCCGU